UGGCUUUGGCAGCACAUAUACUAAAAUUGGAAUGAUACAGAGAAAAUUAGCAUAGUGCCGGCGCAAGGAGGUCACACAAAUUCUUGAAGCAUUCCAAAAUUAA